rnacentral:tRNA from 1 species
UGUCAAGGGAUGGGAAUCGAACCCACGACCUUCCGCUUACCGGGCAGAUGCCAUGAGCAUUAGGCUACCCUGGAC